GGGUCAUGCACUUCCCUAAGUGACACACAUUAUCCUUUGAUACAGUCCUGAGGGCAGGACACUUUCUGUUUGUUUUGGAUUCUUAAAAAAGAGCAAUGUCAGCAGGUUGACAUAACACCAGCCAUGGCUCCAGUAGGGAAUAUCCUCCAAUAUUUAUUCCCAGGCUUGGUGGGGGCCAUCGCUGUGGUUCUCCUCUGCUUCUAUAUGCAGGCAAAAAAUAAAAGAGCAGCGUAUGGCGUCACCGUACCGACGCCACAUGAUGACAAUCGGCUCUCUACGAUUUCUUUGUCUGAGGAUCAGGCAGAAGAAGAAACACAAUAUGACAGAUUCCCUCCUCGGUACAGCACUGUGGAUCUCCCCCCACCAUACUCACUGUUUGAUCCCAAGAUUACCAGCAUUUGGUCCGAUGACUCUCCACCUGCAUAUGAGAUGUUUCCGAUAACGCCGUCUCAUCACUGGAUGACACCCGCGGGACACCUGCAUCCAUAACAACCAUCGAGCACCAUCACCCCCCCCCCCCCCCCCCGCAGCCACACAGGAAACACCAGGCCUCCAACAGCUACACUGACUCAUGUUGUUUCUGUGUAUGCUGAAAAAUAGUAUGUCAC